rnacentral:rRNA from 1 species
UAUGUGAUCGUCUCUCGCAUAUCAAUAAGCGGAGGAAAAGAAACUAACAAGGAUUCCCUUAGUAACGGCGAGCGAACCGGGAUAAGCCCACCAUGAGAAUCGGUCGCCCUCGGCGUUCGAAUUGUAGUCUGGAGAAGCGUCCUCAGCGGCGGACCGGGCCCAAGUCCCCUGGAAAGGGGCGCCGGAGAGGGUGAGAGCCCCGUUGUGCUCGGACCCUGUCGCACCACGAGGCGCUGUCGGCGAGUCGGGUUGUUUGGGAAUGCAGCCCCAAUCGGGCGGUAAAUUCCGUCCAAGGCUAAAUAUUGGCGAGAGACCGAUAGCGAACAAGUACCGUGAGGGAAAGAUGAAAAGAACUUUGAAAAGAGAGUUAAACAGUACGUGAAAUUGUCAAAAGGGAAGCGUUUGACACCAGUGUUGUUUUUCUGAAAAUCAAUUAGAGAACUGUUUAUGCUAAGUUGUUUAGACUUUAUCAGCUAUCUGUUUAGUUUUGAGCUUUUCUUUAAUGCACUUUUCAGUUAACAAGUCAACAUCAAUUUCUUUUGCUGUAAAAAAGCUUGAGGAAGGUGGCUUGAGAUUCGUCUUAAGUGUUUAUAGCCUCUUGCCUAUGCAGUCGGAGAGAUUGAGGUCUGCAGCGUAGAUCCUUCGGGGCUAAAUGCAUUUGUGCUAAGUUAUAGCAUUUUAUAGACAACUUGUUGACUAUGAUUUGUCUUGUAGCUUACUCGCUUAUGUUAUUUUACCUACGCUUAGGAUGUUGAGUCGUAGAGCACGCAG